CCUGGUAUCGGACUGCAAAUUGGCAGAACCAAAAAAAAAAAAAAACAUGUCGUGCAGUAGAUGAGGGAAGACUGCUAAGUGGCAUUGUGUGCUGUGUGUCCACCGUGUGUCUGCACCAGAGUGACGUUGAUGGUCUUUGUCACGGAAACCACGUUAAAAGGUCACCUCACCCCGGCUCACCUCUGAAGCGACUGUCGUGGAAGAGGAUGUGUGAACAUCCCAGUGGAGGUGAUGUCACACUAAUGGACGUGGACACACACGAGGCUUAAAGAAUGACUGAAAGAAUUCUUAUUUGCGCAUAGGAGAGAUUUGAGGACAGUAUAAAUAUAUACAAACAUCUACUCAACAAAAACACAUUGGAACUUUGCGAGGUAGUCCUAGUUCCAGGCGGGAGAACCUCAUGAACUAAUCAUAGAGAACUUUGAAAGCAAAAGGCUUCCCCCAUUGAGUGAAUUAUUUACAUCAGAUGGAUAAAGAUGGAUGUUAACCUACAUCUCCCACCCACUAACCCUCCUUUGACCUCCUCACAUAAGCACACACUCACACAUCUCCAAAGGUGAAAUAUUGGUGGUGCAACGUCAUUCUCUCAGAUCAUUGCUGAUUCCACUACCAGCUGCUUUGCAAUCCAGCCGUCCGAAAUGACUUUAGAGUAGAUGAUAAGCAGUUGUGAAUGAUGCUCUGAAACUGCUGGAUAGCCAUCAAAUGCGUUCUGCAGGUCCUCGACUUAUUCUGUGCCUGUCAAAACAUCCUGAGCAUUCGCUUCAGGACAGCCUUUCCUGCUCUGUCCAUUUGCCAUCAAGUCUGCCGUAGUCAAUAUUUGUUCCCCCUGUAAAUCAACAAAACGGUUAUUUUCACAGUACACGCAACCCAAUGUGACGUUUAUGUUCUUUCUGUAAGUACUAAUCUUAGCUGUAUGGCACAUUCCUUGGGGAUGUGCCAUUAAAAAAAAACCUAUCGUUAUCAAACAGCACAUUGUUUAUAUCAUCCUUGUUUAUCAGCAAAUUUAAUGACCAAUCCAGACUCGGAUCAGUGGAAAGAAAUGUCAUACUGUUAAUCAACUGUUUAAACAUUACUUUAAUAAUCCAGGAGGGUUGACGCUUUGCUCAUUAAAACAAAGUGAUAUUGAUUGGCUUUUCUUCAGCACAGUUAUGACUUGUUAGAAAAUGGGGUCGUAAAAAAAGGAGCUAUAUGCUUCCAUUGGGGUGUGGAACUAUGCUCAGUUAAAGUCAUUCGAAAGUGGAUAUGCUGGGGUUCUUGAUGGAUAGCAUAACAUAAAAAGGAAUUAAUACAAACCACGUUUGGUUUGGCACCUUUGUUUGUCCAUUGACUAAAGUGAAGUCAUGUUUUCCACUGCAAAGUUUCUUUCUUGCAGUUGACUCAUUGAAAGUCAGGCAGAGGCAGAUGCAAGCCGAACACUCGAUUCCUUGGGUUGCAGCGUCAAGAUCUUGUUUAUCCUCUGGGCUCAUGAAGCCAAGCGGAAAGGAAUCCAUCUGCCAACUUGAUAAUUAGGCCCCAAAAACUAAUCAUAUCCCAAACUCAUGAUACCUAAUAUUUGAGCAGUAAAAAGGCAAUUUAAAUUGAUUCAAUUAUACUAGAAAUGAAAAAUGAUGUUAUUAUGUCAGUGGGUGUGUAUGAGAAGACAUCAAUCUUUAUUGUUUGUUUUUUACAUACAGAAAUAUGAUUAGUCUGCAGUCAUCAGCAACUUGAAUGUAUAUUUGGUCAAUGAAAAACUUGUUCUCAACCAGAAAAGUAAAGUACGCUAUCAUGCUAAUUACACAGCUAACACAGCUAUAAUCAUCUGUGGAAAUCAGAAAUUGGGUGAAAUGUUCUUUAUUUUAAACAAUUAAUUCAAGAAUUAUUUUACAAAUAUUCUUCAUACACUCGGGAGACUCACUGAAUGUUCUGAAUUCCUGUUACCAUCAAUCUCUUCAACAAAAUUGACCACUUUAUUGAUUAUUCCCAUUUUAAAUGGAAACACAAGCUGCAUUAAUAUUUACUGUGGUAAGCUAAACUGAGCUGCACCACUUGGUAGAAACAAUAAUAUCAAUAAUAUUGUUUGGUCUUUUAUUGUCAAUGUUUUAUCUUUGUUUGAUUUGGUCAUGACCAUAUUUCAUUUUAUAUGCAAGGAAUGCAAGGAAACAUCUACAUUUGAGAGUUUCAAGGGCUUUUGAGGCCCUGGAGCACCUCCAUAAACGACAUAUUGUAACCCUUAAAGGUGUCUUCAAGAGGCUUUUAGCUGCUUGUUUGAAACAUAUUUUCUUUGCAGGCUUGUCUUUCAAUAAAGUCAAUUGUUUA